GGAAUCGGACGGGUUGGUUCCAUCCCUAGCAGCCGUUCUCGUGUUUAGUUGGGUUAGGAAUCGGAAUUGAGUCAUCCGCAUGCAGGGAAUAUUCCCUCUAGAUGCUUCACCAAGUGAUUCCACCGAUUUGGAGGAAUCGACUCGUUAUUCGUCCGAGAAAGCAAAGAAAAAAAAAUAACCAAGCAAUUCUCACCGCGUUCACCCCCGCACCCGAACAAAAGUUUUCGU
rnacentral:lncRNA from 1 species